AGCGAACACUGGCGGCAGGCUUAACACAUGCAAGUCGAACGCCCCGCAAGGGGAGUGGCAGACGGGUGAGUAACACGUGGGAACGUACCCUUUGGCUCGGAAUAACUUGGGGAAACUCAAGCUAAUACCGGAUAAGCCCUUAUGGGGAAAGGUUUACUGCCGAAGGAUCGGCCCGCGUCUGAUUAGCUAGUUGGUGAGGUAAUGGCUCACCAAGGCGACGAUCAGUAGCUGGUCUGAGAGGAUGAUCAGCCACACUGGGACUGAGACACGGCCCAGACUCCUACGGGAGGCAGCAGUGGGGAAUAUUAGACAAUGGGGGCAACCCUGAUCCAGCCAUGCCGCGUGAGUGAUGAAGGCCUUAGGGUUGUAAAGCUCUUUUACCCGGGACGAUAAUGACUGUACCGGGAGAAUAAGCCCCGGCUAACUUCGUGCCAGCCGCCGCGGUAA
rnacentral:rRNA from 1 species